ensembl:lincRNA
CGAACAGUGUAGACAUUGCCACUGACUGCAAAGGAGCAUGUCAGGGAAGUGACUUGCCAAAGGUCACAUCGCUCUGCCAUCGGAACUGCAGCAGGAGCCCACAAACAAAGCGCCCUCCCUCCUUUCCUGGAGAAGUUUUAAACCCAGGACCCCCAGCCCUACGAUGUCCCAAAGCCUCUUCGACGGCGGCCGGGCUCCAGGGUGCUGGCUCCCCGGUCAUCUACCUCCAGAGCGGCGGACACCGAGGGAGCGCGAGUCCCCCAGACGCCAGGCCACGCUCAUGUCACCCAAGCAGCGGCCGGCCGCCUUGGUGUGAGUCACCCCUAAUGGAGGUGGGAGAACAGGAGGCAUGGUGGGAGGCCCCAUCCCAACAAGUCACAUUCAUGUUCACAAGGGCUCCUGCCAAGGACCCAUCUUGGAACCUGGAGAUCAGUGUCCCACAUGGCCUUCCCUUUGCUGCUGUAGAUGCAACUUCACCUCCCUGCGUUCCCCUGGCAAGUGGGGUCUGCUGCUUGGGCAGUCACUCCAGGUCUGUCCACGCUGCAGAAGACAGUCACUGUGUGUCCCUCCUACAGAUGGACUGGAUGCUCACCAGCUCCUGCCAAUGGAGAGACAUGAGGCCCUCAUGCAAACUGGCAGCCCUAGAGGAGAACCCACCAUACCUGCUGGACAGAAACAGUACCCAGAACCCUCAGUCUGCCUCUGCCUGACAUGGCCCUGGCUGCCUGGCCAACUGGCUUGUAGAAGAGGGAUAUUGACCUGAGUCAAGGGGACAGAGUUGGAGGCAUUGCAUUGUCACCUAGCAGCAGUAUGUCUGGGCAACAUGUGUUACCUCUCUUCCCCUUCCCCUGCCGGCCAGAUAUCCCUCAGAUGCAUCCUGGAUCCGGUGCUGUUCUUCGAGUAUAUGGCCUGCUUCAAGAUAAUGUACACUGCACAUCAGCUAAAUAAUUGUAAAGCAGCUAGUGUCUCCCAAGACGGAGCCCCCGCAAUGUCAGUGAUUUUGACAGGCAGAGAUGACUGCCACAGAUCGGAGGAUCAUAUCCUCUCAAGACAGCCUCCAGGGAAGAAGCACAGGAGUGACUUUCCAUCUCUUGAAUGUCUUCUUCUCCCUGGGGAAGAAGCACCUAAAUCUCCAGUCCACUUCCUCUCAGGCCCCACCUACCAGAUCUGGGUCACAGGCCCACCCCCUGCUGCCAGGACUGCGCUCUGGGGAGAACAGCUCCCUGGGGAUCAGCAGGCUGCACUGUUGCCCCCUGGAGGAUGCAGAAGGAAAGAGACACAGUGCCCGGACUCGCCAGCUCCGUGAUCCAAAGCUGAGAAGCCCCAGGCAGGCUUCAGACUCCUUUACUCUCUGCCUGUCACACCCCCAGGCCCCUCCUGCCAGGGGGAGCUCAAGGAAGUGAGUCCCCCCAGGUGGCGGGGAAGCCUGUCCUUUGGGAUGGAAAAGCCCAAGGCCGCACCAGCUCCCUGGCCACCAUCGUGCAAAGGCAGCAAGGCGGACAGUUGAAGGACGUGCAUUCUCCAGGGGCUUUGAUUCUUUUGAUGCCUGCUGAUGAAGGACAAGUCACUGUCUAUGAAGGGUCUACAAUGUCCCCAAAUUCUGCCCCUAAUGUCUCUUUAGAAGUCAAGCCUAUCCCUGCUAGUGGCAUUUGGGAGCUGAAUUAUAUCUUCUUUCAAAAAGAAUUAAAAAAGACUUCUCUCCAGAGAAGUAUUCAGAUGCCCAUGAACUCUGCCAUCAAAUAUGAAUAUUCUCUUAAAAAUAAAAAUUAUGGCGCAC